CCUACGGGAGGCAGCAGUAAGGAAUAUUGGUCAAUGGACGAAAGUCUGAACCAGCCAUGCCGCGUGCAGGAUGAAUGCCCUAUGGGUUGUAAACUGCUUUUAUACAGGAAGAAAAACUUUCUCGUGAGAAAGCUUGACGGUACUGUAAGAAUAAGGAUCGGCUAACUCCGUGCCAGCAGCCGCGGUAAUACGGAGGAUCCAAGCGUUAUCCGGAAUUAUUGGGUUUAAAGGGUCCGUAGGUGGAUAAUUUAGUCAGAGGUGAAAUCCUGCAGCUUAACUGUAGAAUUGCCUUUGAUACUGGUUAUCUUGAGUUAUUAUGAAGUGAUUAGAAUGUGUAGUGUAGCGGUGAAAUGCAUAGAUAUUACACAGAAUACCAAUUGCGAAGGCAGAUCACUAAUAAUCAACUGACACUGAGGGACGAAAGCGUGGGUAGCGAACAGGAUUAGAUACCCUGGUAG
rnacentral:rRNA from 1 species